CUCCUACAAUGUCUUUUAAAGCCAACUCUUCCUGAGCUGUGCAAGGCUAAGUACCUAACCUCUGUUAAUAUCUUUAUUAUUAUUACAUCAUUGACAACAUAAUAAUGGCUAGCCAGUACUGAGAGUUUGCUAUGUGCCAGGAAGUGGUCUAGACAGUCACCAAUUUGAUCCCGCUUACUCCUCAUCACAAUUCUAUGAGACAGAUGCUAUUAUUUUUCAUGUCACAGAUGAAGAGCUGGAUGCUCAGAGAGGUAAAGUCAUUUGCUCCAAAUCCCACAGUUAGUAAAUGGCAGAAUCCAGACACAGAUGUCAGUAUGUCAGACUCCAAAGUCCUGGCCUUCCCUCUGCUUUCAGAGAACCCUCCUCCCCAACAGGAGGCACCAGCUGGCUAGGGCUGCCCACCCAAUACGGCCUUCAAACAGGAUUUCCUUCCAUGAAAAUGUUCUUCUCAACAAUGGACCCUCUUGUUGACCCUGUCCUCUUCUUUACUCCACUGAGCAAGAUCUGUUACCAAAUGUAUGAGUCCAUGUUAUACCAUAUCAUUCUGCCCUAGGGCUCAAGGUCUGGCAGAUGCCUCAAAUCUGCAGCUUGAACUCCUGCAGCCUCUCCUUGCUCCACAUAAACCAGAGAUGAAAUAGAGCAUAUCUGGGGCUUACUUGAGAAGGGAGUCUACAGUGAGGCAUGCCCUGUCCCUGAGACCACAGCCACCGAAGAGAGACCUGGAUGCCUGAGGAGGGGCAGAAAGGACCAGAAGCCACUAGCAGAUAUAUUGCUUCUCUACACCUCCACGUCAAGGGGAAAGGUUCUUAGGUUGAAUCAAGCUCAUGAUUCACUGUCUUUAGGCAAGAAUACACAUUUUCCUAUUAUUCUUUAGUUUGAUGUCAGAAAGAUUCGAGGAACUAAUCCAAUGGCCACAAUCAUGUUUAGGGUUGUGAAAUCCAUAAGUGGUUCAACCAGAGUAUCACAAGAAGAAAGAGCCUCUCAGGCUGCCUGACCACGACCAACGUGAAUGAACAGCUCCAUCCUGGAUUCCAGGAGAAAUGCACUGGGGCUGAGGCUUAAUUCUCAAAGUCAUGAGAGGGAAAAAAACCACAUGAGAUUUUGUUUAGCAUGACUUCAAAUAAGCUAUUAGCAUUCUAUAGAUCUCAUUUGAAGCACUGGCCUACCAAAUUUGGAAUGAAGAUUUUUUACUUUCACUUUCUUGUGACAUCCAGAUGAGCCAUGUUACUCAUCUAAUACUUAAUUAAACCAUAAAUACUUAAUGGGGAUAAAGAAAGUGGGAUAAAAGAAAGCUAAGUGUAUUUGAGUUUCAUUUCACAUCAAUAUGUCUCCCUUCCUUCCCUGCAAUAUCAGCGAAAUACAAAAGAAGGUUCUGUUCUUGCUCACAUUGAUUUUAUCUUUGCCGUUUAUUCCUCAUACAAAAUCAUUUGGCCAAGUACAUAUUAGAUUAAUAUUCAUGCCUUGUUUACAAACAGCCACAAAAUCUAUUACUGGGGCCUAAGCCACAUGACCUUACCUAAAUCUUGGCUGGCUCUCAUGUGGGCCAUUAGCAUAUUUUGAAAAAUUUCCAAGAAAUUCAUAUACCCAUAGAUUUUCCUUCCUGAAAAGCCAGUUUCCUAAAUAUUCGAUGAG
rnacentral:lncRNA from 1 species